AUGGCAUUCCCCCACUGGAACUGGUUUUUUUUUAGCAAACCCCACUGGAGCAGUUUUUGUUUUGAGGGGUCCCACUGGAACAGGUGCAGAAAGGAGAGAAGUUCAUCUUCUCGGGCCUUUCCAGCCCAUUUGCUGAUUUAUCUACAAGCAAAUGAGGCCCAGGCGCUCAGGCCUUUCGGGAAUACGUACCGGAGCAAUACGCCACGGCGUCGCUCGCCCGGCAAAGGCUUUGCCGUCUGUUUGCCGACGGUCUCCCGCCACCGCGCACUCGGCAAACCCCCGGCUGCAAUCUGCAAUGCCCCCCCCAAACCCUACAUAGCCCGGCUUACCCCUCCGUUUGCGCCUCCAUCCUCCGCGCCCUCUUCCACUCGCGCCGCCGCUCGUCCCCGCGUCCGAGCCUGCUGUUUAGGAAGGUCGCGCUCGCAUCGCACGUUUGAAGAAGAAACCGACCGGCACUCAGGUCAGUUCGCCGCCAUUUGUGCUGCUCGGAGCGGCAGAUCUGCUCGUGUUCCCGCAAUGGUUCGGUUUCUGACUGAGCUUACAAUCAUGUGUGGCGUGCGGCGCAGGGAGAGAGAGGGAGGCCCGGCGACGAUGGCGGAAGACCGCAGCUGGAUGUACACGGGCCGCCAGAGCAGGAAGAAGUUCACCCCCGAGUGGUUGGAGAAGACGACCGAGUUCGUGGAGCGCGCCUUCCGCAUCCUCCCGCCGAGGCGCCAGGCCGUCGUGCUGUGCCCCUGCGCUCGCUGCGAGUUCAGGCUGUACAGAUCGAAGGACGAGAUUCAGCUGCAUCUGUUCAAGAACGGGUUCGCGCCAGGGUACACGGUGUGGGUGUACCACGGCGAGCGACGCAACCCCCAGCCUGCUAAGCCGUCCGACGACCGCCCCAAAGAGAAUGGCGAUCUCAGCGGGAAGAAGGAUGGCGCCGGCGGCGGCGAGCAAGCGUCGAAAUCAGCGCAGGGGACCAAGAAGUGGGCGUGUGCAAGAGGAAAGCCACCAAAGAAGAAUCAACUGUGGGCGCGGGCUGCCGCGCAGGGAGAGGGAGGCCCCGCGACGAUGGCGGAAGACCGCAACUGGAUGUACACGGGCCGCCAGAGCAGGGACUCGAUCACCCCCGAGUGGGUGGAGAAGACGACCGAGUUCGUGGAGCGCGCCUUCCGCGGCGUCCCGCCGGAGCGCCUGGGCGUGGGCAUGCUGUGCCCCUGCGCGCGCUGCCGCAACCGCAACAGGCGGCCGAGGACCAAGUACGCCAUGCAGCUGGAUCUGGGCAGGAACGGCUUCAUGCCAGGGUACACGGUGUGGGUGCACCACGGCGAGGGCCACAACCCCCAGCCGGCGAAGCCAUCCGACGACCACCCCGAAGAGAAUCUUGAUGGCGCCGGUGGUGGCGAGCAAGUGUCGAAGCCGCAGGGGACUGAGGAGUGGGAAAUGCCCUUGCUUGAGGCGUAUGCAAGAAGCAAGCUACCAAAAGAGGAUCAAAUUAAGUGGAGCUACCAGAAAUACCUGUGGGAGCAAGAGAAAACCAAGCAGCACCAGCAACAGAGUGCACCAAAGGCAAAGAGGCUGCGCACCUCUGGUUCGUCCGCUGCCAAGCCCGCUGAGGAGGAAGGGCGCAAUGUCAGCGUCCCGGAGCCUGAACUUGAAGAUACAGCAACGUCAACAGCUAAUCCGGCAACGGCAGACAACGCGUGUGGAGUUCAAAUCCCAGCUGGACGGAAUUCCGUGUAA
rnacentral:rRNA from 1 species